rnacentral:rRNA from 1 species
GUUGACCUCGGAUCAGGUAGGGAUACCCGCUGAACUUAAGCAUAUCAAUAAGCGGAGGAAAAGAAACCAACAGGGAUUGCCCUAGUAACGGCGAGUGAAGCGGCAACAGCUCAAAUUUGAAAUCUGGCGCAAGCCCGAGUUGUAAUUUGUAGAGGAUGCUUCUAGGUAGCGACCGGUCUAAGUUCCUUGGAACAGGACGUCAUAGAGGGUGAGAAUCCCGUAUGUGACCGGCCCGCACCUUCUACGUAGCUCCUUCGAAGAGUCGAGUUGUUUGGGAAUGCAGCUCUAAAUGGGAGGUAAAUUUCUUCUAAAGCUAAAUACCGGCCAGAGACCGAUAGCGCACAAGUAGAGUGAUCGAAAGAUGAAAAGCACUUUGGAAAGAGAGUUAAAAAGCACGUGAAAUUGUUGAAAGGGAAGCGCUUACAACCAGACUUCUGGGCGGUGUUCCGCCGGUCUUUUGACCGGUCUACUCUCCGUCCCGAGGCCAACAUCAUCUGGGACCGCUGGAUAAGACCUUAGGAAUGUAGCUUCCCUCGGGAAGUGUUAUAGCCUCUGGUGAUGCAGCGCGUCUCGGGUGAGGUCCGCGCUUCGGCAAGGAUGUUGGCGUAAUGGUUGUCAGCGGCCCGUCUUGAAACACGGACCAAGGAGUCUAACAUCUAUGCGAGUGUUCGGGUGUCAAACCCCUACGCGUAAUGAAAGUGAACGGAGGUGGGAAGCGCAAGCUGCACCAUCGACCGAUCCUGAUGUCCUCGGAUGGAUUUGAGUAAGAGCAUAGCUGUUGGGACCCGAAAGAUGGUGAACUAUGCCUGAAUAGGGUGAAGCCAGAGGAAACUCUGGUGGAGGCUCGCAGCGGUUCUGACGUGCAAAUCGAUCGUCAAAUUUGGGUAUAGGGGCGAAAGACUAAUCGAACCAUCUAGUAGCUGGUUCCUGCCGAAGUUUCCCUC